AACGAACGCUGGCGGCAUGCCUAACACAUGCAAGUCGAACGAGACCUUCGGGUCUAGUGGCGCACGGGUGCGUAACGCGUGGGAACCUGCCCUUAGGUUCGGAAUAACUCCCCGAAAGGGGUGCUAAUACCGGAUAAUGUCUUCGGACCAAAGAUUUAUCGCCUUUGGAUGGGCCCGCGUUGGAUUAGCUAGUUGGUAGGGUAAAAGCCUACCAAGGCGACGAUCCAUAGCUGGUCUGAGAGGAUGAUCAGCCACACUGGGACUGAGACACGGCCCAGACCUCUACGGGAGGCAGCAGUUGGGAAUAUUGGACAAUGGGCGAAAGCCUGAUCCAGCCAUGCCGCGUGAGUGAUGAAGGCCUUAGGGUUGGAAAGCUCUUUUAACCGGGAUGAUAAUGACAGUACCGGGAGAAUAAGCCCCGGCUAACUCCGUG
rnacentral:rRNA from 1 species